GGAAGAAGAAACAAGGAUGAUUGAAAGCAAUUGGAGAGUUCUUUCAUGAAAUAGUCAAUUACCAAACACAAGGCAAUUAAGUUUUAUAUCUGAGCGCACACUUAUGGUGGCUGAAAGAGACAGGAUCAGGAAGGUGUGACGUUGUACCUCGUUCAGUCUAUCACCAAACCAGAAUAACUUACCUUCUCUGACCCACGAAGGACAAUUCUGGGUUUCCUAACAUCAUCGUGCAGGAAGAAGUGCACAUAACAUCCAAUAGAGGACCACGAGGUUUAGGCAACCAACAAGAAUUUGAGGGGUCAACAAAGCCCUUUUGAUGUAGGACAUCCUACCUACACCAAUUGGUUUCCUAUUUGGGUUAAUGUUUAUUUAGAAGUCAUUAUAAGUUUAGGAUUUCUAUUUUAGAGUCUAGAAGUUCUAGAAUAGUAAGUUGAUAUUAGUAAUACAAUUCAAAGUAGGAUUUCUAUUAAGUUGAUAUUAGUAAUACAAUUCAAAGUAGGAUUUGUAUUUUGAUUUCUUUGUUUAGGAAGUCCUAGUGCUAGUUGGUCUUAGUCUUUAGUCUAUAUAAAGAGUCAUGCUUUGUAGAACAAUUAUUCAACCAAUUCAAUGAUUCACUCAAUACAAUUAAGAUUUGUCUCUACAAUUUAUUUUUCUUUAGUUUUGUUUUAGUUCUUCCUUGUUUCAAGGCAAACCUCCCCUUGGGUUACUCAAGGUUUGAUUUUUAAUCGCUUCCGCUACGUCAAUUGGUAUCAAGAGCUUCGUUUCGAUCCUACAAUGGUUAAAAACGGAGAUUCUUCACCCCGCUCCCAAGUCGGUAAUCUUGGAGAUUAUGUGACGAAGGUUGAAUUCAAUUCAGCUAUUGAUCGUCUCACCGCUUUAAUCGACAAUCUUACUCUUCGAUUUGAUAAGUUGGAAGGUAAGCAACAUAUUAUUGAUGCUCCCACCCUCCCACCCUCUUUCAUACCACCACCACACCCACCCCCAUCACCACAAUUUACCACCACAAUUGUACAACAAGUUUCCUAUAUUGGUUUUUCAUCUCUCCCUAUUAAUGUCAACCCUCAACCAUUACAAAACCUAGCCUCACAGCCCCAACACUACAACUCCCAAUACUCACAACCUUGUAAUACCUCCCAACUAUCUCACAUUUCCAUUACUCCACAAUUUGCCACAACCUAUACCACCAUUACUUCUCCCUCACAAUGUCAAAGUCAAACCCUACUUUCAACCACACCACCAACAAAUCAUGUUUGUCUUAAAGAAGAAAAUGUUAUAAUAGAGAGCUACCAAGUUUUAAUGGAAAGCCACCGAGUUUUAAGGAAGAUUCUUCCAAUAUCGUGGCCAAAAUUGAUGAAGCAAAACCAAUUUUUACUGAAGACAAAUAUCAUAAAGUUGAAAUCGCUGCGAAAGAUUCAUUACCUCUAGAUGUUCAACAUUAUGAUUUUAUUGGAAUUGAUCAUAUACUAUCACAAAAAGUUCUUUUUGUUCUCCAAGUCCAAGGUUUUGAAUCAAAAGACGGAACUACAACUUCCAUUAAUAUGAGGAAAGUUUACAAGAGUCUGUGUUAUUCAAAGUAUUUUUUCUUAUGGAGCGGACGAUAUCAAUACAACAUAAAUUCGAGGACGAAUUCUUUUGAAGAAUGGGGGACUGAUGUAGGACAUCCUACCUACACCAAUUGGUUUCCUAUUUGGGUUAAUGUUUAUUUAGAAGUCAUUAUAAGUUUAGGAUUUCUAUUUUAGAGUCUAGAAGUUCUAGAAUAGUAAGUUGAUAUUAGUAAUACAAUUCAAAGUAGGAUUUGUAUUUUGAUUUCUUUGUUUAGGAAGUCCUAGUGCUAGUUGGUCUUAGUCUUUAGUCUAUAUAAAGAGUCAUGCUUUGUAGAACAAUUAUUCAACCAAUUCAAUGAUUCACUCAAUACAAUUAAGAUUUGUCUCUACAAUUUAUUUUUCUUUAGUUUUGUUUUAGUUCUUCCUUGUUUCAAGGCAAACCUCCCCUUGGGUUACUCAAGGUUUGAUUUUUAAUCGCUUCCGCUACGUCACCUUUUCUGAUGGUUUUCCCAAACAAAUUUUGUUUUUGUUUUUGUUUUCUUUUAUUUUAUUUUUUUUUACUUUUGUUCUGGAGUGCAUUCUUCUAUUUUUAUCCUUGGUGGUUAAAAAAACUGAAACUGGGUAUACGUGUAGAGCUCCAUGAUCGCGAAAAUGUGAGGAUGAAACUAAAACUAGAACUAGUUGUUUCCUUCCUUUGCUGGGGGAAAGAGUGCCAUUGCUAAACAGGGUGGGUCGAGAUGACCUACAAGUAUAGAUAGAAUACAAAAACAGCAAGAAAAUACGAAAAGAACCAAUACCGUUAACUGUUAACCAUUCUCAAAUUGGAACAGCCAAUCCUAUCCCGCCACAAAUUCCCCUCCUAUGUAGCAAUGUCUUCUACUCCUCUCAAGCCAGCCCUCGCAACACCGCAAAUGACAGAAGACCCACAAAACCAUACUAAUAACUUAUACAAAUAGGGUCACCCU
rnacentral:lncRNA from 1 species